rnacentral:lncRNA from 1 species
AAGUUAUGGUGUCUGACAUGUUACUGAUCAAUGUACAUCAAAUUAUGGUUGCUUGAUAUGUUGACCAAAUGAUGGAUUUUGAAGAUCAAGAUGUGUUUAUCAAGACAAAUCCUGAAGAUAUGCAGUGAUCAAGUGGGUGUGCUUGUAUAUCAAGUUGUGUAUAUUAAGUUGUGAUGAUCAAGAUUAUUUUGAUUAGUAUUCAAGUUAUACCUUGUUCACUAAGUUUUUUUAUCAAUUUUUGCUAGGAAUUUCAUUGUUUUUUUAUCUUAUUUUU